rnacentral:rRNA from 1 species
UACGUAGGUGGCAAGCGUUGUCCGGAUUUACUGGGCGUAAAGAGCGCGCAGGCGGUCGUUCAAGUCGAGUGUGAAAGCCCCCGGCUCAACUGGGGAGGGUCACUCGAUACUGAUCGACUCGAAGGCAGAAGAGGGAAGCGGAAUUCCCGGUGUAGUGGUGAAAUGCGUAGAUAGUCGGGAGGAACACCAGUGGCGAAGGCGGCUUUCUGGUCUGGCGUCUUGACGCUGAGGCGCGAA